rnacentral:rRNA from 1 species
UGGUGGAGUGAUUUGUCUGGUUAAUUCCGAUAACGAACGAGACCCCUGCCUGCUAAAUAGUCAAAUGAGUGAUUUUUCACUGAUUGUGGCUUCUUAGAGGGACGUGCAUUUUAUUAGAUGCAUGAGGAUAGGGGCAGUAACA